AGUACCAUUAAGAAUGGAACCUCAAAGGAAGCAAGGACUAUGAAGUUAUCAUCAAACUGUGGUGUUUCAACGAGGACGAUCUUUAUCAACAAUGAGGGUUGAAUUAGAUCUUCACAGACAAAUACAUCUUUAUGUAAUAAAAAUGCUGAUAUGAUGAUCGGGAGGAGUUGCAGAAGAUAGAUUUCAAA